rnacentral:misc_RNA from 1 species
CAACCCUCAGGCCCUGCCUGGCGUUGGGGCGCCGCGGCGGCGAGAGCCCCGCGGGCCCUGAAAUACAGUGGCGAGCCCGCCUGGACUCCGAGCGUAGUAGCAACACUCGCUCAGGGCGUCCCGGCGCGCGUCGGCCGUAAAACACCCCAACUCACCAAA